UCUCAGCACCCCUGGGACCCCUCGGCCUGUGUCUCUCUCUCAGCCCCACGGGGCUCCUGGCUGGAACACGGGAAUGGCCGGAGGGGAAGGGGAGCGUGGGUUCAUGGGAGGAGAGACUGAUCCAGCCAAGUGGGGAGGGACAGUGACGUGCUCACACCCUUGUGCUCUCUCCAGCUGGAGCGGGACAGGAGCAGAGCUCAAGAGCUCUUGAGUCAGAGCCUGCCGUACCUGAGGGACGCUCAGGCCAGCUUGCGAGAGGCGGCCGUGAGGUUCAUCGGGCUGGCUGCGCGGCCCCUGAGGGACCGAAGGGAGGAGGAGGAGCUGGCUGAGAUCUGCAGCGCCCUUCAGCCCUUGGAGUGGGACAGCGAACCCUCCAUCUGCUCCCUGGCAGCCCAGACCAUCCGCAUCCUGGGCAACCCAAGGGAGCAGCCACGAUCGCGAUGGACCCUGCGAGGCCUGUGCUGCUGGCCCCGCUAAGCCCGGCGGAGGUGCAGCUCUUCUCGGGAGGAGGGCUGGAUUUAAUAAAGCUGGAGGAGAAUGCCAAAGCCCUGGUGUCCUUCAGCUGUGCAGCGCCCUGAGCGUGCUGAGCAGACGGUGUCGUUCCUGGGCUCUCCCGCUGCCGCAGGACGUCUGUCCCUCAGCACAGCCCGGUUCCAGGCGCAGUUACGGUGCCGGCGGGCGGGCGCUCGCGGGCCCCAGGCCCUGCCCUGCAGGGGUACGCAGGGGAGGCAGAUGGCCGUGCGGCA